UACAGGGGGGGCAAGCGUUGUUCGGAAUUACUGGGCGUAAAGGGUCUGUAGGUGGCCAACUAAGUCAGACGUGAAAUCCCUCAGCUUAACUGGGGAACUGCGUCUGAUACUGGAUGGCUCGAGUGUGGGAGAGGAAUGCGGAAUUCCAGGUGUAGCGGUGAAAUGCGUAGAUAUCUGGAGGAACACCGGUGGCGAAGGCGGCAUUCUGGACCGAUAUUGACGCUGAGGAGCGAAAGCCAGGGGAGCAAACGGG
rnacentral:rRNA from 1 species